AUUGAACGCUGGCGGAAUGCUUUACACAUGCAAGUCGAACGGCAGCACGGACUUCGGUCUGGUGGCGAGUGGCGAACGGGUGAGUAACAUAUCGGAACGUAUCCAAUAAUGGGGGAUAACUAAUCGAACGGUUGGCUAAUACCGCAUACGCCCUACGGGGGAAAGCAGGGGAUCUUCGGACCUUGCGUUAAUGGAGCGGCUGAUAUCUGAUUAGCUAGUUGGUGAGGUAAAGGCUCACCAAGGCGACGAUCAGUAGCUGGUCUGAGAGGACGAACCGCCACACUGGGACUGAGACACGGUCCAGACUCCCACGGGAGGCAGCGGUGGGGAAUUUUGGACAAUGGGCGCAAGCCUGAUCCAGCCAUUCCGCGUGAGUGAAGAAGGCCUUCGGGUUGUAAAGCUCUUUCGCAAGGAAAGAAAACUUACUUUCUAAUAAAGAGUGAGGUUGACGGUACCUUGAUAAGAAGCACCGGCUAACUACGUGCCAGCAGCCGCCGUAA
rnacentral:rRNA from 1 species